AGUGAACGCUGGCGGUAGGCCUAACACAUGCAAGUCGAACGGCAGCACAGUAAGAGCUUGCUCUUACGGGUGGCGAGUGGCGGACGGGUGAGGAAUACAUCGGAAUCUACUUUUUCUUGGGGGAUAACGUAGGGAAACUUACGCUAAUACCGCAUACGACCUACGGGUGAAAGCAGGAGAUCUUCGGACCUUGCGCGAUUGAAUGAGCCGAUGUCGGAUUAGCUAGUUGGCGGGGUAAAGGCCCACCAAGGCGACGAUCCGUAGCUGGUCUGAGAGGAUGAUCAGCCACACUGGAACUGAGACACGGUCCAGACUCCUACGGGAGGCAGCAGUGGGGAAUAUUGGACAAUGGGCGCAAGCCUGAUCCAGCCAUACCGCGUGAGUGAAGAAGGCCUUCGGGUUGUAAAGCCCUUUUGUUGGGAAAGAAAAGCAGCAGGUUAAUACCCCGCUGUUCUGACGGUACCCAAAGAAUAAGCACCGGCUAACUUCGUG
rnacentral:rRNA from 1 species